rnacentral:misc_RNA from 1 species
GAUGAAGAACGUAGCGAAAUGCGAUAACUAAUGUGAAUUGCAGAAUUCAGUGAAUCAUCGAGUCUUUGAACGCACAUUGCGCCCCCUGGUAUUCCGGGGGGCAUGCCUGUCCGAGCGUCAUUGCUGCCCUCAAGCACGGCUUGUGUGUUGGGCUCCGUCCCCCCGGGGACGGGCCCGAAAGGCAGCGGCGGCACCGAGUCCGGUCCUCGAGCGUAUGGGGCUUUGUCACCCGCUCUGUAGGCCCGGCCGGCGCCAGCCGACAACCCAUCAUCCUUUUCAGGUUGACCUCGGAUCAGGUAGGGAGACCCGCUGAACUUAAGCAUAUCAAUAAGCGGAGGA